rnacentral:rRNA from 1 species
UGAGGAAUAUUGGGCAAUGCCCGCAAGGGUGACCCAGCAACGCCGCGUGGAGGAUGAAUGUCGUAAGAUUGUAAACUCCUGUUAGAGGGGAAGAAUAGUACCGGUUGGACCGGUAUAUGACUGUACCCUCAGAGAAAGCCCCGGCUAACUACGUGCCAGCAGCCGCGGUAAUACGUAGGGGGCAAGCGUUGUCCGGAUUUACUGGGUGUAAAGGGCGCGCAGGCGGGAUAAAAAGUCAGUGGUGAAAUCCUACAGCUUAACUGUAGACCUGCCUUUGAUACUUUUAUUCUUGAGUUCGGGAGAGAGAGACGGAAUUCCAGGUGUAGUGGUGAAAUACGUAGAUAUCUGGAAGAACACCAGUUGCGAAGGCGGUCUCUUGGUCCGACACUGACGCUGAGGCGCGAAAGCGUGGGGAGCAAACA